CCGACCUUAGCUCAGUUGGUAGAGCGGAGGACUGUAGUAAGGCAGAUUAAUCCUUAGGUCGCUGGUUCGAAUCCGGCAGGUCGGA
rfam:Vitis vinifera, whole genome shotgun sequence of line PN40024, chromosome 6, chr6